AACGAACGCUGGCGGCAUGCCUAACACAUGCAAGUCGAACGAGACCUUCGGGUCUAGUGGCGCACGGGUGCGUAACGCGUGGGAACCUGCCCUUAGGUUCGGAAUAACUCCCCGAAAGGGGUGCUAAUACCGGAUAAUGUCUUCGGACCAAAGAUUUAUCGCCUUUGGAUGGGCCCGCGUUGGAUUAGCUAGUUGGUAGGGUAAAAGCCCACCAAGGCGACGAUCCAUAGCUGGUCUGAGAGGAUGAUCAGCCACACUGGGACUGAGACACGGCCCAGACUCCUACGGGAGGCAGCAGUGGGGAAUCUUGGACAAUGGGCGAAAGCCUGAUCCAGCAAUGCCGCGUGAGUGAUGAAGGCCUUAGGGUUGUAAAGCUCUUUUACCCGGGAUGAUAAUGACAGUACCGGGAGAAUAAGCUCCGGCUAACUCCGUG
rnacentral:rRNA from 1 species